GACGAACGCUGGCGGCGUGCUUAACACAUGCAAGUCGAACGGUGAAGGGACCAGCUUGCUGGUUCUGGAUGAGUGGCGAACGGGUGAGUAACACGUGAGUAACCUGCCCCCUUCUUCUGGAUAACCGCAUGAAAGUGUGGCUAAUACGGGACAUUCUGGGUCUGUCGCAUGGCGGGCCCGGGAAAGAUAUUGCUUCGGUGGGGGAUGGGCUCGCGGCCUAUCAGCUUGUUGGUGGGGUGAUGGCCUACCAAGGCGGUGACGGGUAGCCGGCCUGAGAGGGUGGACGGUCACACUGGGACUGAGACACGGCCCAGACUCCUACGGGAGGCAGCAGUGGGGAAUAUUGCACAAUGGGCGCAAGCCUGAUGCAGCGACGCCGCGUGAGGGAUGGAGGCCUUCGGGUUGUAAACCUCUUUCGCCAGUGAAGCAGGCCUGCUCCUUGUGGGUGGGUUGACGGUAGCUGGAUAAGAAGCGCCGGCUAACUACGUG
rnacentral:rRNA from 1 species